rnacentral:rRNA from 1 species
GGGCCUAAAGCGUCCGUAGCCGGUUUAAUAAGUCUCUAGGUGAAAUCCUGCAGCUUAACUGUGGGAAUGCUGGAGAUACUAUUAGACUUGAGACCGGGAGAGGUUAGAGGUACUCCCAGGGUAGAGGUGAAAUUCUGUAAUCCUGGGAGGACCGCCUGUUGCGAAGGCGUCUAACUGGAACGGUUCUGACGGUGAGGGACGAAAGUUAGGGGCGCGAACCGGAUUAGAUACCCCGGGUAGUCCUAACUGUAAACGAUGCGGACUUGGUGUUGGGUGGCUUUGAGCUGCUUCAGUGCCGAAGGGAAGCUGUUAAGUCCGCCGCCUGGGAAGUACGGUCGCAAGACUGAAACUUAAGGAAUUGGCGGGGGAGCACCACAACGCGUGGAGCCUGCGGUUUAAUUGGAUUCAACGCCGGACAUCUCACCAGAGGCGACAGCUGUAUGAUAGCCAGGUUGAUGACUUUGCUUGACUAGCUGAGAAGUGGUGCAUGG